AGAACAGAGCAGUUUGAAUGUAUACCAGGUGGCUUCUUUUGUGGUGUUCCCUUAUGAAUAUUUACAUUGAAAUAUUGAUCCUAAGAACAUGAGACAGUAGUACCUUAUGUGACAUCUGUGUCUUCUGUUUCCCAGGUGUUGCACAGAAAGAUGGAAAGUUGUCUCCUUUCAGGAAGUGUAGUAAAGAAUAUCAGAAGAGAAUUUUGAAUGCCUUUCCAAUCUGCAUUUCCAAAUCUGCUGGAUCAGUGAUCAUUCAUCAGGACCGUGCUGGUGGCUUGGGCAGGUUUGUGAGAUCCUGUCCUAUGACAAGUCUUUGUGGAUGGCUCUGGGUAGCAUCUCCCAUGCCUGAUGUCACCUGGCUGUGCUGGAUGGGAUGCUCUCUUUUAUUUACUCUCACUUCCCAGCUUUUAAAAUAAUUAUCAUCUUUAUUUCAGCCGUUAAUUUUCUGUAGGAGACCAUUGCACAUGUAGACUAUCAGAUAGAAGAGGCUCAAAACAUUUCCCCUAUUUAGAUAAGUAUUUACCACAGCAAACAGAGAUAUUUAUAGGUGGAAACUCUGUGGCUCAGCCUUCUGGUG
rnacentral:lncRNA from 1 species